ensembl:snoRNA
GCAUGGUAAUGGAUUUAUGGCAGGUCCUCCUCUGUGGGCCUCUCAUAGUGUACCCAUGCCAGAGAAAACAGCCUCGAACCAUUGCCCAGUCUCUUUACCUGUGGGCUGUGAGCACUGAAAGCGGUUGUACAGGG